rnacentral:miRNA from 1 species
CAUCGCUAUCGUGUGUUCUUGU